GGUCUUUUCCAGCCUCAGUGGUUCUACGGUGACCGUUUUUGUCCCUUGCAGAUCACAUCCAAGCUGCUUUCUGCCACCUCCAAAAGCAAAUACAACUUUCUCUAAGGUAAAAUGUGCAAUUAGCGACUGCCUGCGCUAACCUGGGAGAGUGCUCGUGCUCCUGGCUGUGUGUGAGGCUGCACAAACCUCCGUCUGUAUCUAGACAGGAUAAUUAGUAUUUCUGCUCAGCGCUGGGAGUGGUGUGUGUUUCUCAGAGGUUUUCAGAUGUGUGGGGGUGUGAACGGUGAGAUCGUUUUAGGAACGUAAAAGCAAAAAGUACACGGAUUUAUUCUGGGGAGCGGUGCCAAGAGUUGAACAGGUUCUUGCAUUAAACUCGGUACUGCUGAGCAGCGAAAAAUAGUUGUUUACCUAGCUGGGCCCCGAAGGAAUGCUCCAGCAAAGCGUUAGAAGUACUGCUCUGUCACCAGUUUUUAUUUUCACAUGUGAUGCUUGGUUAAUGAAGCGAGCUCUGCCUGCUGAAGUUACAAUUGUAUGGUUGGAGCUGUCUUGCUGCAGCUCUAUCUGGCCAUCGUUGCUUCCAGAGCACUGUGGAAGAAGCUAUGUGGAAUUAGGCUCCAUUGGAUCUUCCCGACAUCUUGGACCACCGGUAAUAACCCAAUUAACAAGAUGAAAGCUCAGCGUUGAACUCGCUAAUCGCACUGAAGUAAAAAAAGAUGACGAGCCAAAAGAGAUUGUUGUGCAGACCCACUGAUCCCGACAGCCUCUUGAAGUUUAAAGAGUUCAGUGAUCUUGCAAAACCCUUUCUCUUUAAAUCUAGGUCUCAAGAGAAGGGAGAGGUACAUCAAAGAGUAAUUCACCUUCAGCUGUGUAGAUGAUUUUUUUUUUUUGGGACGUAGGAGUUGGAUUGCUGUGUUUCAACUAGAAAUGAGAUCGUUGCAUCAUAGAAACUAAAUUUGCUGUGGCAGCGAAUAUGAGUUAAUUUGACUAGGCUUGUAUCAUCUCAUGUCUCCCAGCAAGAUUCUACAUACACUUGUACUCUGCUUCAGUUCUACUUUAAUUGCUUCCCCUCCCCCUGGUGAAUCCUGCUGUUUACUGAGUUCUGUUGCACCAACACAAUGCUGUUUGCUGAUUUCUAUAUUUCUUUAAGUUUCUCCAAGAUAUGUUUUUUGCCAUAUAUUGAUAAUGGGCUGUCAUAAGGACCAGAUGGAGGUAGGGCUCAGUCCUUAUAAGCACAUUUGCUUAUUCUGUGCUUAUUUUAGGGAUGUUUGGGAUGAAAAUAUUCAAUUAUUGAUUGUAUUUCUAAGUAAAAAAAAUGAAAAAAAAAAAAAGCAGAAAAAAGUCACAAAACUUGAACUGUUCCAAUUAUAACCCCUGCACCAUUCUUUUCCUUUAACGUACAUGAAGACAGUGACAUCAUUCCCACUGACUUUUAAAUAAUUGAAGAAAAAGCCACGAGGAUCUGCAAGAAGACCUCCCAGUGGAACAGCUGGGCUCUGAUGAAUGAGAAGAGCGAGGUUUAGAUUAGGGCUAAAAGAGUUAUUUAAAUUGUAGUUCUGCACAAUACCAACUUCAGGACGCUGGUGGCACAGGACCUCAUUCACAACUCUCAAUUAUUUUUCUUUGUGUUAUUCAUACUUUUUGCAGCUCUUGAUAAGUUUGUGGAAAACAGUAUUGCAAUGGCUGAAAUACACCUCUUGACGUUUGUUCUUGUAUUGAAGAUGGGAGCACUUCACAGCUCUUUUGCUCUUGCCAUGUGCCACUGUGCCCAUUUUCCUUGGGUUGGAACUCAUCGUGUUAUCAUGGGAUACUUUUGGAAUGAGGAUGGCUGGGCUCUCUAUUUAUAUUCCCUUCUCUCAUUUGUAACAGGGCAUGCCAGAGAUGAUGUUGCCUAAGAUGACACCCCAGCUCCAGCACCUGAUGCAGCUGUGGGUGUCCCUGUUCACUGCAGGGAGUGGGACCUGAUGGCCUUUAAAGGUCCCUUCCAACUCAGCUAUUCUAUGAAGACAUCCCCAUGCCUCUGCUUCCAUGAGUCUGGAGCAUCUCAUUUCCCUCUGCUUUGGCCCCAGUGUCUGGAGCACGCUGUGAUUCAUACAAGCAGGACAGAGCACACUGGGAACAGGACAAGUAAGCACCUUGUUGCAAAUUAUGCUGAAAAUAUGCCAUGAGUAGACAGUGUAUUUCCUGCAGCAUUAAGUGUUGAAAAAAUGUUUUCUUACCUAUAGGAGUAGAUGGGUUUGGGAAACAGAGGCUGCUGGGAUUCUUGAGUGCUUUGAGGAGCAAUCCUUUGGUAGGGGUAGUGCGAAGAGGUGAUGUAAGUCACUGGGUAGCUGCCUCCUGAUGGGUACUGGAGAGACAACCAAAGAGAUGUCACUUGGCUUGGCAACGAGUUCUCAGAAUGUUUCUUUCUUAAUAGAAAUACUAAGCUUUAAUUCGGAGGAUAUUGUCCUCCACCUACAUUUAAUAGCUGUUAUGCAAAGGCAGAACUGAAGUCUUUCUAGUGUGGUAUUGAAAACCAUUGGUGUUACUGGUUAGUGCUUAAGGAGGAAGAGAAGCAGGAGAGGAGUGGGCUGGGAUGUCGGCUGCUACCAGUUCUGUUGCAGUGAGUUCCAUGCUAAAGAACUGUUUUGUUUUUUUUUGUUAAUUAUUGCCCAUUAUGCUACUGAGUUGUUGUGAAAAAUGGGUCGUUAGACCCUAUCUAUCGUUUCCAGACCAUGCACAAUUGCAUAGACUUAAAGAAUUUACUCCUUCAGCCAUCCUUUUCAUGGCAUCUCUUCAAGAGAUCCCCAGGCAUGCCCAGUUCUCAAUACACUCAGCAAUGGAUGGCCCAUCGUGAGGUCACCCCAACAGAAAUAUACCAACGCAAAAAAACAGGGAGGUCAAAGGAAAUACUGCAUGUAGCUUGCCGUGAUUGCAACAGAGUUUCUGCCGCUUUGCUCUCCGUUUCCUAUCGCAGCGGUUGGUCACGUAUUUUUUCUGUCCCGAAUUACAAUUCCAACCUGCUGGCAAGCAGCUUUCGAGAACAAAGGAGCACUGCCCCACGGAGGUGAGAUAGCAUCAGUUGGCUCUUGGUGCGGCGAAGGCUCCCACUCAACUCGGGAUUGGUGAGAGAGGAAUUUCUGCCUCUUACAGCUGAAUCUUUCCAGAUGCCAGGGGUAGGGCACGGCCAAAAUUAGGAAUCGUGUCACGGGCUAUUAAAAAUCUGCUUGCAUGCCUUUGCUAGCGCUCAAAGGUUGCUGAGCCGUGUUCUGGUGCGGUGCUGCUCACCUCUACAAGCCCUGUGUCAUGAGUUUUUGUUAUGGUUCCUCUAAGGACUCUAAUAUAGAUUUUUCAGAGUCAUCAAGAAAAUUUUCCUGGUAAUUAAUUUAUGCAUCUUAGUUUCUUACUGCCAUUGGUUUCAGUGGCUCUUUGAAAGGAAAGGGUUCUAAGAAGGAACUGGUUGGGAUGUUGCUACCAAAAGCAAGAACUGGGCGUUUUCGUGAUCAUUUCUGUUUUAUUGGUCUCAUUACUCCUUUUUGAGGGAGCAAGGCUGGGGAAUGGUCUGGUACGACUGGCUGGAGCUGGUUCUGCAGUCACACUGCUGGAUGAAAGGUGUCCGUGUUUUAUGGUGGGUGGGUUGGUGGCUUCAGCAGUGUCUGCCACUUCUUUCAGGUCAAUAAGAAGUAAUUUUCCGGCUGAGUCACCAUUUGUGCUGUGUCCAGCAAAGGGGAAGGUGAGGCCACUUUAUCGUUUGGACCGAGUUAAUGAAGGAGUCGAUCUCUCUCAUCCCUUAAUGAAAAGAGAGGUGUAGUUGCUCCAGGCUAGGGGGCCGUCCUGAGUUUAACUCCGUAGUGAUUUAAGUUGUCCGUUCCAUUCAAAUUUGAAAGGUAAAACAUUAAUACAUGCAAAAGGUGUUAUUCCAUUUCUUCUGUCUUGUAUCACUGCCCAUUUGCUAGCGUCUGACGAUGGCAUCUCAACCUGUUAUGACUUUGGCUGCUGAUACCCCUCACUUUUCUUUGAUUAGUAGAAUCCGUUGCCAAGCUUUUACUACAGUAACAUCAAGUAGCACAAUCACUGCAGUCUAACCAAAGCCUGCUGCUUGUAGGAGAGCUGUCACUCUGCCAGCCUGCAGGUGGAUGGGAGACUUUCUCCUCCUGAAGUGCUUGUUGUGUCUUGCCUAGCAGUUCCCAGAAGACAUUUCAGCUGUAAUGUUGUGGGUUUUUUGAAUGUGCUUAAUGCAGAUAAGUAGUCAUAUUACCGGUAUCAAAACAGCAGUGAUGAGGGAAGGGUGGUCAUUUCAGUUAUAUGUUUUUUAUAUAUAUAUAGCCUGAAUAUCAUGCAUUGUCAUGCAUCAGCAUUAUGGUCAGUUAUGCUUCAGCUGAAUAUUCUUUCACUGGGGAUGAUGCAAGGGCCAAAAGAUUGCAAAAGAGAUGGAUGUGCCACCAAACUCAGGGAGAGUGAGCAUUGUCUCGCUGUUAUUUACUUUAAAAGGGGGUAUUGUUUCAUCUGGUUUUUGGGCUGUUACCGUAACUACUGUAUGACUCUGGUGCAAGAAACACAGCAUUUUUGGUUCUACGUAUGGUACUGACCUGGUGGAAGGGAUGUGAGGGGCAGUACAUCUGCUGCACUUGGGGCUGAUAGCAGUACAACCCAGGCUGCCCUUCCAGUGGGGAUGUCCUAAGCUUGAGGUCUGAAUCCUGCUAGAAAAUAUGUAAGGAAAGCAUUAUUAGAGAAAACACCUCAAUUUAAUCCCAUCAGUUACUGUCCUGACUUGUCUUUCAUUAUACCUGAUGCUUAUUACUACUAUCCUCUUGUCAACCCAGUGCCACAUCCAGUAUUGACUAAUGUCUGUGCUAUUUUGGUGAGCAUCAGAUGAUUUUUUUUAUCCAGAAAUAUCAACUUGCAAGCAGCUUGUGAGCUGUGCAGGAACUUUGAAGUUGCACGUUAAUGGAACCAGUGGAGACAUCAAUGAGUAGCUGGUCUGAGUAGUCAGAGGUGCUUUGUAUAGGGCUCAUGCGGUGCUAAUCUUACGUUCUUUGCAGCCCAAGAAUUUGGGAAGAAAAUGGGUUUUUUCUCAUUAACUGCUUACAGAUUUUGCAUUAAACUAAUCUGAUCUGAGUUUAUAUUAUUUAUCCAGGAAAUAAGAGAUUUAGAUCAACUUCCUCCUUAGUCUGAGUGGCUUCAAUCUGUGGGAAAAAAAAAUAAUAGAAAAGACAACUGACCAUGACUUGUGAACUGUGGUCUUGACCUGUGGUGCUGUACUGGAGACUGUUACACCACGACUGUUCGGAGGAGAUGUUUGGAACAUGUGUUGG